rnacentral:rRNA from 1 species
CCUACGGGAGGCAGCAGUGGGGAAUAUUGCACAAUGGGGGAAACCCUGAUGCAGCGACGCCGCGUGAGUGAAGAAGUAUCUCGGUACGUAAAGCCCUAUCAGCAGGGAAGAAAAUGACGGUACCUGACGAAGAAGCCCCGGCUAACUACGUGCCAGCAGCCGCGGUAAUACGUAGGGGGAAAGCGUUAUCCGGAUUUACUGGGUGUAAAGGGAGCGUAGACGGCAGUGCAAGUCUGGAGUGAAAUCCCGGGGCUUAACCCCGGGACUGCUUUGGAAACUGUGCGGCUUGAGUGCAGGAGGGGCAAGCGGAAUUCCUAGUGUAGCGGUGAAAUGCGUAGAUAUUAGGAGGAACACCGGUGGCGAAGGCGGCUUACUGGACUGUAACUGACGUUGAGGCCCGAAAGCGUGGGGAGCAAACAGGAUUAGAUACCCCAGUAGUC